rnacentral:ncRNA from 1 species
CAAAGGUUUGGUCCUGACUUUACUAUCAACUUUAGCUAAAUUUACACAUGCAAGUAUCCGCACCCCUGUGAGAAUGCCCCACAGUCCCCCACCCGGGAACAAGGAGCCGGUAUCAGGCACACUUAUUUAAUUAGCCCAAGACACCUUGCUUAGCCACACCCUCAAGGGAAUUCAGCAGUGAUAAACAUUAAGCCAUAAGUGAAAACUUGACUUAGUUAAAGCUAAGAGGGCCGGUAAAACUCGUGCCAGCCACCGCGGUUAUACGAGAGGCCCAAGUUGUUAGUUACCGGCGUAAAGCGUGGUUAAAAAUAAUUACUUACUAAAGCCGAAAGCCUUCAAAGCUGUUAUACGCAUCCGAAGUUAAAAAGACCAAUAACGAAAGUAGCUUUAUUUAUUUUGAACCCACGAAAGCCAUGGCACAAACUGGGAUUAGAUACCCCACUAUGCCUAGCCGUAAACAUUGACAGUAGAAUACAACAUCUGUCCGCCUGGGUACUACGAGCAUCAGCUUGAAACCCAAAGGACUUGGCGGUGCUUUAGAUCCCCCUAGAGGAGCCUGUUCUAGAACCGAUAACCCCCGUUCAACCUCACCCUUUCUUGUUUAUCCCGCCUAUAUACCACCGUCGUCAGCUUACCCUGUGAAGGCCCUAUAGUAAGCAAAAUUGGCAUAGCCCAAAACGUCAGGUCGAGGUGUAGCGUAUGAAAGGGGAAGAAAUGGGCUACAUUCACUUCCUCAGUGAACACGAACGAUAUAUUGAAAUAUAUAUCCAAAGGAGGAUUUAGCAGUAAGCAGAAAAUAGAGUGUCCUGCUGAAACUGGCCCUGAAGCGCGCACACACCGCCCGUCACUCUCCCCAAGCUCCCUAAAACAAGUAACUAAAUAUAUAUAACUGCAAAGGGGAGGCAAGUCGUAACAUGGUAAGUGUACCGGAAGGUGCACUUGGAAAAAU